GAGGGGGCUGUGGUCCAUCAGCUAGCUUGGUAGGGUAACGGUCUACCAAGGCGAGGACGGAUAGGGGGCCUGACAGGGUGACCCCCCACACGGGCACUGAUACACUGGGCCCGACUCCUACGGGAGGCAGCAGUAAUGGGAUAUUGCGACAAUGUGGCGAAAGCCUGACGCAGCAAGCGCCUCGUGGAGGAUGAAGGCCUUCGGGUUGUAAACUCCUUUUCUGUGGGAACAGGAAGGACGGUACCACAGGAACAAGUCUCGGCUAACUACUUGCCAGCGGCCGCGGUAAUACGUAGGAGGCGAGCGUUGUCCGGCAUUACUGGGUGUAUAGCGCGUGCUGGCGGUCUGGUAAGUCGAGCGUGAGAGCUCCCGGCUCAACCGGGAGAGGACGUGCGAAAUUGCGAGGCUAGAGACUGGUAGAGGCGUACGGAAUUCCGGGUGUAGUGGUGAAAUGCGUAGAUAUCCGGAGGAACACCAGUGGCGAAGGCGGUACGCUGGGCCUGGUCUGACGCUAAGACGCGAAAGCAUGGGGAGCGAACGGCAUUAGAAACCCCGGUAGUCCAUGCCGUAAACGAUGCCAACUAGGUGUUGCGGGUAAAAGACCGGCAGUGCCGGAGACAACGCGAUAGGUUAGCCACCUGGGGACUACGGUCGCAAGGAUAAUACUCAAAGGAAUUGACGGGGGCCCGCACAAGCAGCGGAGCGUGUGGUCUAAUUCGAGGCUACACGAAGAACCUCACCUGGGCUGGACAUGACGGUGGUAGGGAACCGAAAGGGGACCGACCUUCGGGAGCCACCACAGGUGCUGCAUGACGGUCGUCAGCUCGUGUCGUGAGAUGUUCGCUUAAGUCCGGUAACGAGCGCGACCCUCAUCGAUAGUUACAAGUGUCUAGCGGGACUGCCCGUUCAACGCGGGAGGAAGGCGGGGACGACGUCAAGUCAGCAUGGCCUUUAUGUCCAGGGCUACACACACGCUACAAUGGCCGGUACAAUGGCUCGCCUACCCGCGAGGGGGAGCCAAUCCACCA
rnacentral:rRNA from 1 species